GUGCUCACUUCAGCAGCACAUGUACAUAAAUUGGAACAAUACAGAGAAGAGUAGCAUGGCUCCUGCGCAAAGAUGACAUGCAAAUUCGUGAAGCAUUCCAUAUUUUU